rfam:Haemonchus placei strain MHpl1 genome assembly, scaffold: HPLM_scaffold0000247
GCUCCGGUGGUUCAGUGCUCGUCUGCCACGCGGGCGGCCCGGGUUCAAUUCCCGGCCGAUGCA